rnacentral:rRNA from 1 species
CACGUAGGCGGAUACUUAAGUUAGGGGUGAAAUCCCAGAGCUCAACUCUGGAACUGCCUCUAAUACUGGGUAUCUCGAGUUCGAGAGAGGUGAGUGGAAUUCCGAGUGUAGAGGUGAAAUUCGUAGAUAUUCGGAGGAACACCAGUGGCGAAGGCGGCUCACUGGCUCGAUACUGACGCUGAGGUGCGAAAGCGUGGGGAGCAACA